UCGAACGCUUCUUUUUCCACCGGAGCUUGCUCCACCGGAAAAAGAGGAGUGGCGAACGGGUGAGUAACACGUGGGUAACCUGCCCAUCAGAAGGGGAUAACACUUGGAAACAGGUGCUAAUACCGUAUAACAAUCAAAACCGCAUGGUUUUGAUUUGAAAGGCGCUUUCGGGUGUCGCUGAUGGAUGGACCCGCGGUGCAUUAGCUAGUUGGUGAGGUAACGGCUCACCAAGGCCACGAUGCAUAGCCGACCUGAGAGGGUGAUCGGCCACAUUGGGACUGAGACACGGCCCAAACUCCUACGGGAGGCAGCAGUAGGGAAUCUUCGGCAAUGGACGAAAGUCUGACCGAGCAACGCCGCGUGAGUGAAGAAGGUUUUCGGAUCGUAAAACUCUGUUGUUAGAGAAGAACAAGGAUGAGAGUAACUGUUCAUCCCUUGACGGUAUCUAACCAGAAAGCCACGGCUAACUACGUGCCAGCAGCCGCGGUAAUACGUAGGUGGCAAGCGUUGUCCGGAUUUAUUGGGCGUAAAGCGAGCGCAGGCGGUUUCUUAAGUCUGAUGUGAAAGCCCCCGGCUCAACCGGGGAGGGUCAUUGGAAACUGGGAGACUUGAGUGCAGAAGAGGAGAGUGGAAUUCCAUGUGUAGCGGUGAAAUGCGUAGAUAUAUGGAGGAACACCAGUGGCGAAGGCGGCUCU
rnacentral:rRNA from 1 species